AUUGAACGCUGGCGGCAGGCCUAACACAUGCAAGUCGAACGAGUGGCGGAAGGGUGAGUAAUGUCUGGGAAACUGCCCGAUGGAGGGGGAUAACUACUGGAACAGGUAGCUAAUACCGCAUACCCUCGGAUGUGCCCAGAGGGGAUUAGCUAGUAGGGGGGGUAACGGCUCACCUAGUCGCCGAUCCCUAGCUGGUCUGAGAGGAUGACCAGCCAAACUGGAACUGAGACACGUUCCAGACUCUUACGGGAGGCAGCAGUGGGGAAUAUUGCACAAUGGGCUAAAGCCUGAUGCAGCCAUGCCGCGUGUAUGAAGAAGGCCUUCGGGUUGUAAAGUACUUUCAGCGAGGAGGCGUUACUCGCAGAAGAAGCACCGGCUAACUCCGUGCCAGCAGCCGCGGUAAUUC
rnacentral:rRNA from 1 species